ACCCUCUCAGGAUCGUACCUGGAGAGUUUCCAGUAUUCUACUAUUCUCGACUACGGGAGGGAGAGUCAAGCAGAGGCAUAACCAUUCCAUUCCCAGCUUGGCAGGUGGCUAGCAAGUGGAAGGCAAUCUGCUACAAGU